rnacentral:tRNA from 1 species
AUUUAUAUAGUUUAUUAAAACCUUACAUUUUCAUUGUAAAAAUGAAGCCUAUUCUAUAAAUA